AAUAAACUAAGAAUUAUGAAAUGAUAAAUGCCAUGACAGAUGCUGUAUAACCUAAAUUGAUGAGGGGAUGUAUGACAGAAAUUCAGAGGAAAUAAUUUCCUUUCCUUUAAUAUUCAAAUCAAUUAUGGUUCUGCUGGUCUCUCAAUUCUCUCUUACUGAAACUGAAUUAUAAAUAGGUGUGGGGGAAAAAAAAGAACUCAACAUUUGAAACUCGGAGUAUAUUUUAUUUUCUGGUUUGGAUUUCAUGACAUCCUUUUGUCUUUUUCAGGACUCUUAACAUACUCAUCUCUCUCUUAUUACUCCUCUUUGACAACAUGUUGGCAUUCUUAAAUCUUCUAGAUUCUUUUUUUUUUUUUUUUUUUUUUUUUUUUGCUGUUUUAGGGCCACACCAUGUGGCAUAUGGAAGUUCCCAGGCCAGGGGUUGAAUCAGAGCUACAACUGGAGCCUAGACCACAGCCACAGCAACACAGGAUCUGCAUCUGUGACAUACACCACAGCUCAUGGCAAUGCUGGAUAUUUACCCACUGAAUGAGGCUGGGGAUCUAACCUGUAUCCUCAUGGAUACUACCUGGGUUCCUUACUGCUGAGGCACAAUGGGAUCUCCAAAUCUUUUAGAUCUUAACUUCCCUCUGUCUAAUUGACAUUUGUUCCCCCUCUAGUUACUUUCUCUUUCUUUCCCCUUUCCACAGAAUUCAUCGAGGAAUUGUUUUCAUUAUGCCAUCUCUCUAUUUCCUAACCUGUCCUCUAUCCACUCCAAAUCUGUCACUACCCUUGACCUUAACAAUGCCCUUAACCAUUCCUGCAUUCCUGACAACUCUCCUAACCACUCUCUUCUUAUACACUGCUGCCCCUUCCAGUCACUUCUUUAUACUGAACUGGAAUGUUCUUUCUAAAUCUCAAACUUGGUCAUGUCAAUCUACACUUUAUUCACUCUCUUAUAAAGCCCUCAGUUACUCCUAAGACAAAAAGAUAAUAAUAACAUAGGCUACAAAGUUCUAACAGGCAAAAUUAGUUGACUACCCAUUUUCUCAUUACUUUCUAACCACUUUCUAACAAAAAAUACAAUUCCUAUCUUCCUGUUCAUAACAAGAGAGUCAUGUAGC
rnacentral:lncRNA from 1 species